UACGUAGGGGGCUAGCGUUGUCCGGAAUCAUUGGGCGUAAAGCGCGUGUAGGCGGUUCGGUAAGUCUGCCGUGAAAACCUGGGGCUCAACCCUGGGCGUGCGGUGGAUACUGCCGGGCUAGAGGGUGGUAGAGGCGAGUGGAAUUCCCGGUGUAGCGGUGAAAUGCGCAGAUAUCGGGAGGAACACCAGUAGCGAAGGCGGCUCACUGGCCCGGUACUGACGCUGAGGUGCGAAAGCGUGGGGAGCAAACAGG
rnacentral:rRNA from 1 species